GAUGAACGCUGGCGGCGUGCCUAAUACAUGCAAGUCGAGCGAACAGAUGAGGAGCUUGCUCCUCUGACGUUAGCGGCGGACGGGCGAGUAACACGUGGAUAACCUACCUAUAAGACUGGGAUAACUUCGGGAAACCGGAGCUAAUACCGGAUAAUAUAUUGAACCGCAUGGAUCAAUAGUGAAAGACGGUUUUGCUGUCACUUAUAGAUGGAUCCGCGCCGCAUUAGCUAGUUGGUAAGGUAACGGCUUACCAAGGCAACGAUGCGUAGCCGACCUGAGAGGGUGAUCGGCCACACUGGAACUGAGACACGGUCCAGACUCCUACGGGAGGCAGCAGUGGGGAAUCUUCGGCAAUGGGCGAAAGCCUGACGGAGCAACGCCGCGUGAGUGAUGAAGGUCUUCGGAUCGUAAAGCUCUGUUAUUAGGGAAGAACAGAUGUGUGAGUAACUAUGCACGUCUUGACGGUACCUAAUCAGAAAGCCACGGCUAACUACGUG
rnacentral:rRNA from 1 species